rnacentral:rRNA from 1 species
AGCGAACGCUGGCGGCAGGCCUAACACAUGCAAGUCGAGCGCCCGUAGCAAUACGGGAGCGGCGGACGGGUGAGUAACACGUGGGAACGUACCCUUCGGUUCGGAAUAACCCAGGGAAACUUGGAUUAAUACCGGAUACGUCCGUAAGGAGAAAGAUUUAUCGCCGAAGGAUCGGCCCGCGUCCGAUUAGCUUGUUGGUGGGGUAAUGGCCCACCAAGGCUACGAUCGGUAGCUGGUCUGAGAGGAUGAUCAGCCACACUGGGACUGAGACACGGCCCAGACUCCUACGGGAGGCAGCAGUGGGGAAUAUUGACAAUGGGCGCAAGCCUGAUCCAGCCAUGCCGCGUGGGUGAUGAAGGCCCUAGGGUUGUAAAGCCCUUUCGGCGGGGAAGAUAAUGACGGUACCCGCAGAAGAAGCCCCGGCUAACUUCGUGCCAGCCGCCGCGGUAAUAC